GGGGGUGUAGCUCAGCUGGGAGAGCACCUGCCUUUGCAAGCAGGGGGUCAGGAGUUCGAUUCUCCUCAUCUCCACCA
rnacentral:tRNA from 1 species